AUUGAACGCUGGCGGCAGGCCUAACACAUGCAAGUCGAGCGGAUGAAUGGAGCUGGCUCCUGGAUGCAGCGGCGGACGGGUGAGUAAUGCCUAUGAAUCUGCCUGGUCGUGGGGGAUAACGUCCGGAAACGGGCGCUAAUACCGCAUACGUCCUGAGGGAGAAAGUGGGGGAUCUUCGGACCUCACGCUAUCAGAUGAGCAUAGGUCGGAUUAGCUAGGUGGUGGGGUAACGGCCUACCAAGGCGACGAUCCGUAACUGGUCUGAGAGGAUGAUCAGUUAGCCUGGAACGGAGACACGUCCCCGACUCCUGGAGGAGGACGCAGUGGGGACUAUUGGGCGAUGGGCGAAAGCCUGAUCUAGCCAUGCCGCGUGUGUGAAGAAGGUCUUCGGAUUGUAAAGCACUGUAGGUUGGGAGGAAGUGCAGUAAGUUAAUAUCUUGCUGUUUUGACGUUACCAACAGAAUAAGCACCGGCUAACUUCGUG
rnacentral:rRNA from 1 species